AUGCGUCAGUAUACUGCAUUGCUGCUGGUCCAUGGACCUGUCUUUUGGUCUCUGAAUUUCCUAGUUGAAAGUACAAAUUCAUACUUGACUCGACAAAUCAACAGAAAGAAGUCUUCAGUGGGAGGAGCAAAUUUUUAUAGUUGUUCGAAUCGUCGCUUUUGCAAACAUAUAUACUACAUGUCAACUGAUAGGUUUGUUCUUCACUGGUCUGCAAACUUUGGUCUCCGCUCGUUCUUGCCAUCUGUUCUUCGCAUUCCCUUUGCUGGUGCGGUCUUGCUGGUGCUGGCACGGCCACUGCUGUUGCAAACAGGCUCGCUGCCGGUGCCGGCCACAGCCUUGCCCUUGGCUGGUAAAGCAUUCUUCCUGGCAUCUACCUGCAGCUCCUUGGAAGCUCUUGCCGCAGAAGAUGGUGGCCUCCUCGCCUUCGCGCUCUCGACUUUGGUGUCCACGCCCAAUGGUGGAGCUGUCGCCACUGCCGUUGCUGAUGCCCUGCGCCGUGCGAAAAUAGACCCAGUCGUGAGCAGAUUCUUGGGCGCCGUGUAA
rnacentral:rRNA from 1 species